UACGUAGGGGGCUAGCGUUAUCCGGAAUUACUGGGCGUAAAGGGCGCGCAGGCUGUAGAUCAAGUCAGCUGUGAAAUGUCUGGGCUUAACCCGGGCAUGCGGUUGAAACUGAUGUACUGGAGUGCUGUAGAGGCAAGUGGAAUUCCCAGUGUAGCGGUGAAAUGCGUAGAUAUUGGGAAGAACACCGGUGGCGAAGGCGACUUGCUGGGCAGCAACUGACGCUGAGGCGCGAAAGCCAGGGGAGCAAACGGGAUUAGAUA
rnacentral:rRNA from 1 species